rnacentral:rRNA from 1 species
UACGUAGGGGGCAAGCGUUGUCCGGAUUUAUUGGGCGUAAAGAGCGUGUAGGCGGCUUUACAGGUCCGUUGUGAAAACUCGAGGCUCAACCUCGAGACGCCGGUGGAAACCGUAAAGCUAGAGUCCGGAAGAGGAGAGUGGAAUUCCUGGUGUAGCGGUGAAAUGCGCAGAUAUCAGGAAGAACACCCGUGGCGAAGGCGGGUCUCUGGGCCGAUACUGACGCUGAGGAGCGAAAGCGUGGGGAGCGAACAGG